CAAUAGCGUAUAUUAAAGUUGUUGCGGUUAAAAAGCUCGUAGUUGGAUUUCUUCCAGGGGCAGUCGGUCCACACUACGUGUGCGUAUCUGAUUUGACUUUGGAAUCCUCUUGGGGAACAUCUCUGCGCUUAACUGCGUGGAAUGGUAUUCAAGACUUUUACUUUGAGGAAAUUAGAGUGUUCACGGCAGGCAAUCGCCCUGAAUACAUUAGCAUGGAAUAAUAAUAUAGGAUUUCGGUUCUAUUUUGUUGGUUUCUAGAGCUGAGAUAAUGAUUAAUAGGGACACUUGGGGGCAUUCGUAUUAUCACGUCAGAGGUGGAAUUCUUGGAUUGUGUUACGACGAACUACCGCGAAAGCAUUUGCCAAGGAUGUUUUCAUUGA
rnacentral:rRNA from 1 species